CAAUAGCGUAUAUUAAAGUUGUUGCAGUUAAAAAGCUCGUAGUUGGAUUUCUGGUUGAAGCGACCGGUCGGGCGUUGAUUCGUCUGCACUGGAGUCGGUUUUGGCCAUCCUCUAGGAAAGUGCGUCUGGUAUUAAGUUAUCGGGCGUAUGAUCCUGGUCUUUUACUGUGAAAAAAUUAGAGUGCUCAAAGCAGGCCUUCGCUUGAAUACAUUAGCAUGGAAUAAUAGAAUAGGACUUUGGUUCUAUUUUGUUGGUUUCUAGGACCGAAGUAAUGAUUAAUAGGGAUAGUUGGGGGCAUUAGUAUUUAAUUGUCAGAGGUGAAAUUCUUGGAUUUAUGAAAGACUAACAUCUGCGAAAGCAUUUGCCAAGGAUGUUUUCAUUG
rnacentral:rRNA from 1 species